UUUUCUAAGUGGCUUGACUUUUUACCACAAGCUCUGCAUCAUUUUUAUAAUCAGAAUAAAGCAAGGGGACAGCAACGGGGCCUCCUUGGAGCUCCCAUUCCUGAGGAGAAAGCAACGCUUCCCCACAUGGCCACCCUCCUCACAGCAGGUUUCUGGGAGAAGGACCGUGACUUUUAUCAGAAAAGCAAAAGAUAGCCUCAGCAGGCUCCCUGGACAGUGAAGCCACUUCCAGACACACGCAGGGUCUCUCCCAAACCAAGACACUGGGACAAAGAUGGGAGCAGCUGAGCUCUGCAUCUCCUUCUGGGAGAGAUAGGCCUUCUUCAAAGUGAGGAGAAGACGCAACAAUAAAACGGGAGAAAAGCCCCAUGGAAGAGUGCACAGACCUGCCCCUUCACAGACCAAGCCAGUAGAGUGCUCAGCGGGGCAGCUGGGACGGCCAAGAAUUGGACAUGAAGGGGCAUGCGGAGUCCAUAGUGCAGCGCCUAAAAAAUGGACAAAGGA